rnacentral:misc_RNA from 1 species
GUAUUGAUUGCGUGUUAUCGCAAAAAUGGGGGUCAUUCUACACUUUUAAAAUAGGGGUUUGUGUGAAAACGCAAGCCCCCCUCCCGGAUCGGUUUGAUCCCAAAGGGUUGCCCACGCGGUGGUGCACAAAAGGGUGAGAUGGAUUUUUAUGUGAGAGGACACACUCUGGCGUGCACGACAUUGAGUCAGCGACAGCCCUUGCAUGCCCCUCACAUUUUGUACGAUAAUGAUCCUUCCGCAGGUUCACCUACGGAAA